rnacentral:lncRNA from 1 species
GAUAAUAAAUGGUAUGGCCCGGAUCCUAUCUUAAUCAGAUCCUGGGGAGCUAUUUGUGUUUUUUCCACAGGGUGAAGAAAAUCCACUUUGGGUCUCAAUGCGACUGAUAAGGACCGUGAAAGAAUCUAUCGAAUUAUCUGAAGGGGAACUGGUUGCAGAAGCUAGGUUGCAGACGAAGCUGCAGAUACAGAUCCUGAACCAGAGUGGAACCAGUGACCCUUGGAGACUUCACCUCUUGGCUUACCUCUGCAUUUUUCUUACUUCAAAGAAUGGCUGGGGGGGGGGGGAAAUCUGUUUGGCACAGCCUUGUGUUGUGGAUUAGUGUUCAUGCUAUGGUUGGUCUGCAAGCUCAGAUCUCAACAGAAACGUGACAAGGUUGUGAUAGCUCAAGCACUUGCUGCCAUAGAGCAAGGGGCCUCCCCUAAAAUUUGGUUAUCUAUUCUCAAGAAUUAGUCAGCAUCUGAGUUCUCUGCUUUUGCAUCCCACGGAUUUGUGGAUCCAUUGCACUGGGAUGAGAGAGAUUCAACGAUCAUUGAUCAGCCCUUGCACAUCACUGAGGUUUCCUCUUGCACGUGAUAGGGUGAUCAUGAUUUCCCUAUUAAUUCAUUUUUUGGCUGGCCUCGCUUGUAGAGUUCGCCCUAGGUCAUUUAGCAGUUACUGUCACACAGUACUGCGGUAUCCAGAGACGGGCAACUUUCCUCAUGCACAGACCAACCUAAGACACGGGGCCCAGUGGCGAUAGGGUUACCCUAUGAUGGGUAAGGCUGUGACAUUAGAGGAACGGCCUAAAACAGGAGCCACAGCAGAUGGACAUAACUGCAGAGGCCUAGACCAGCCUCGUUUUAAUAAUAUAUAAGGGGGGGGGGGAGAUGUGGAGAGCCGCAAUAACAUUUACCAUCAUAAGAUGGUGCCGGCUUCCACAGUGCCUUAAUGCCACCUAAACAAAGAUCAAGCUGUGUGCGCAUGUGCAAGGAGUAAAAGCGCACCAAGUCACUAGCCCACCCCCGGGGCAUGUAUAUGAGAUCAUGGGUAAGCAACCAUUCAGGCGUGGACACGCCACACCAGGGGGUAUAUAAGCAGCCCCUUUUCUGAGGCUCUUGGUCUUCCUCAUCAAUAUGUAAUAAAGAUUGGCUGCA